AAGGGGAAUAUAAGGGAGUACAUCAUGGAGAUGUCUCACAUUGCUUCUAAACUUAAAGGGCUAAAACUUGAGCUGUCUGAUAACUUGCUCGUACAUUUGGUAUUGAUCUCACUUACUGCACAAUUCAGUCAAUUUAAGGUCAGUUAUAACUGCUAGAAAGAGAAAUGGUCUUUAAAUAAGACUGGACCUGUGUAGAAGGACUGUACCAAAUAUCAUGUUCGGCGUGCAAAGAAAGGUACAAUUCUUACUUUGAUAUGUUCUGAGGAUAAUUUAGCUUCAGUACUAAGAAACACUUGGUAGAUAGAUUCUGGUGCUACUACUCACAUAAGUUUUUCUAUGCAGAGCUACCUGAGCUAUCGAAAGUCAAAUGAUGGUGAAGUAUACAUCUAUGUGGGUGAUGGAAAAUAGGUGGAAGUUGAUGUAACUAGUCAUUAUUUGGAUUUGAAAGACACAUUUGAUGUACCAUCUUUUAGAUGGAAUUUGAGUUCUGUUUCUUCGUUGGACAAAUCUGGAUACUAUUUUUUAUUUGGAA
rnacentral:lncRNA from 1 species